CCUACGGGAGGCAGCAGUGAGGAAUAUUGGUCAAUGGUCGGGAGACUGAACCAGCCAAGCCGCGUGAGGGAUGAAGGUACAGAGUAUCGUAAACCUCUUUUGUCAGGGAACAAAGGCGGCGACGCGUCCCCGGAUGAGUGGACCUGGAAAAAAAGCAUCGGCCAACUCCGUGCCAGCAGCCGCGGUAAUACGGAGGAUGCGAGCGUUAUCCGGAUUUAUUGGGUUUAAAGGGGGCGCAGGCGGAAUGUUAAGUCAGCGGUAAAAGCCCGGGGCUCAACCCCGGCCCGCCGUUGAAACUGGCAGUCUAGAGUUGGAGAGAAGUAUGCGGAAUGCGUGGUGUAGCGGUGAAAUGCAUAGAUAUCGCGCAGAACUCCGAUUGCGAAGGCAGCAUGCCGGCUCCAAACUGACGCUGAGGCACGAAAGCGUGGGUAUCGAACAGGAUUAGAUACCCGUGUAGUC
rnacentral:rRNA from 1 species